rnacentral:lncRNA from 1 species
CGAGGAAGUAUAUAUUAUAGCAAUCGCGCUUAAAGUAUAAAUGAAAGGAGUGGAACAAAGUGUCGCUUCGGGAAACAUGGGUAUUGAAAAUCUUAAAAACCCGUAGGUUCCCAAUUUUAAAGCAAUUCCUGCCAAGAUGACGGAUCCUGCCGUAGGUGCCUCUACAUGAGCUUCGGGUAACCAAAUAUGAACUGGUACCAUAGGCACUUUGACGGCGAAAGAGGCGAAAGAAGCAAUCCAUAGAAAGAUUUGGCGCCGCUCACUAAAUUCUGUGGUUAAUGAGAUUUGUAAAUCGGUUGUUCCUGUUUGGAGAAGAAUCAACAGAAUAGCUAAUAGCAUAAAAACAGAUCCAAGUAAAGUAUAAAGGAACAACUGAUAUGCUGCCUUGAUCUUUCUUUGUCUCGAACCCCAUACCCCUAUAAUAAUGGUAGAGUCAGGGGUGGCCCCAAAGCGGAAUUGACCGGUGGUGCUUGGUCGAAGCUCCAGUAGGUAGCCACUCCCUUCUCAGAGAACCGUACGUGAGACUUCCGCCUCAUACGGCUCCGUCCCGAGCUUCCGUCGUCGGCCUUGGCAUUAAACCACUAUCUAUGCAUGUAUUUUCAGCCUGGACUGACGAAUCUUUUGCUUCUCGGGUGGUGUCGAACAAUGGUGCUUGCGUUGCGGGAGAUGCCCGCCCGUAGGGCCCGGCCUGCUUCCCGCCCGAAAGAACCGCUCACUAGCUAGCCGGACUAGUGGGGCCCUAUCUGGAGACAUACUGAAAACCAUGCCUUUCGAACCGAACGCAAUGCCCGUCUUCCAAAUAAAAAAAAGGGCUCGUUGGGAAGAAAGAUUACGUGCGGCCUGUAGAGCACAUGUAAGGCACAGUCGGGUUGCUCACGCAGCGGAUCUCUCUCUAUCUAUAG